CAUGUACUCCCUCCGUCCGAAAUUACUCGUCGGAGAAAUUAAUAAAAAUGAACGUAUUUAAAACUAAAAUAUGUCUAGAUACAUCCAUUCCUCCGACAAGUAUUUAUGGACGGAGGGAGUAUAUC
rfam:Triticum aestivum genome assembly, contig: Triticum_aestivum_CS42_TGACv1_scaffold_232023_3B